rnacentral:rRNA from 1 species
GAGUUUGAUCAUGGCUCAGGACGAACGCUGGCGGCGUGCCUAAUACAUGCAAGUCGAGCGAACUGAUGAGAAGCUUGCUUCUCUGACGUUAGCGGCGGACGGGUGAGUAACACGUGGGCAACCUGCCCAAUAGUUGGGGAUAACUCCGGGAAACCGGGGCUAAUACCGAAUAAUACAUUUCAUCUCCUGUUGGAAUGUUGAAAGAUGGUUUACGCUAUCACUAUUGGAUGGGCCCGCGGCGCAUUAGCUAGUUGGUGAGGUAACGGCUCACCAAGGCGACGAUGCGUAGCCGACCUGAGAGGGUGAUCGGCCACACUGGGACUGAGACACGGCCCAGACUCCUACGGGAGGCAGCAGUAGGGAAUCUUCCACAAUGGGCGAAAGCCUGAUGGAGCAACGCCGCGUGAGUGAAGAAGGUUUUCGGAUCGUAAAACUCUGUUGUAAGGGAAGAACAAGUACAGUAGUAACUGGCUGUACCUUGACGGUACCUUAUUA